AGUUACGUUUUGGGAAAUAUCCCCUUGGCGCCACUAAAAUACAGUAUUUUUGAUUUACUGUAAAUCUAAAUACAGUAAAAAAAAAAAUUUAAAAAAAAGAGCGCGAAACCUGACCAAUCACAGAAAAGCUUUUAUUUCCCGCUUGGAGAAAGAAGAAAAUGAAGACACACAGAUGCGAGGAGAACCAGUCAGAUGCAAAGGAGCUGGUUCAUUGUGAGGAUUAACCCUGACAACAGCAAGUGCUCCUCAAAGUUCCAGGUCAGCAAAAGAAGUGGGAAGAUGCAUGGUGCAAAGGAAGAACUCUGGCCUGAACCCUCAUGUAUCCUCCUUUAUU